UACGGGAGAAGCUAGUGUUACUCGUCGUAAUGGGCGUAAAGGGAGCGUAGAUGCUUUGUAAGUGCUUAGUUAAAGACUGGUAGUUAACGCCUUAAAAGCUUAGUAGACUGCAAAGCUAGAGUUCUAAACAAGAUAACGGAUCACUGUGGAGACGUGAAAUGCUACGAUACAGUGUGGACGACAUUGCGAAGGCAGUUAUCAGUUAGAAUACUGACAUUGAGGCUCUAGAGCUGGGGAGCAAAAAGG
rnacentral:misc_RNA from 1 species